rnacentral:rRNA from 1 species
UGAACGCUGGCGGCAGGCCUAACACAUGCAAAUCGAGCGGAUGAAGGGAGCUUGCUCCUGGAUUCAGCGGCGGACGGGUGAGUAAUGCCUAGGAAUCUGCCUGGUAGUGGGGGAUAACGUCCGGAAACGGGCGCUAAUACCGCAUACGUCCUGAGGGAGAAAGUGGGGGAUCUUCGGACCUCACGCUAUCAGAUGAGCCUAGGUCGGAUUAGCUAGUUGGUGGGGUAAAGGCCUACCAAGGCGACGAUCCGUAACUGGUCUGAGAGGAUGAUCAUUCACACUGGAACUGAGACACGGUCCAGACUCCUACGGGAGGCAGCAGUGGGGAAUAUUGGACAAUGGGCGAAAGCCUGAUCCAGCCAUGCCGCGUGUGUGAAGAAGGUCUUCGGAUUGUAAAGCACUUUAAGUUGGGAGGAAGGGCAGUAAGUUAAUACCUUGCUGUUUUGACGUUACCAACAGAAUAAGCACCGGCUAACUUCGUG